rnacentral:rRNA from 1 species
CAACCUGCCCACCACUUGGGGAUAACCUUGCGAAAGUAAGACUAAUACCCAAUGACGUCUCUAGAANACAUCUGAAAGAGAUUAAAGAUUUAUCGGUGAUGGAUGGGGAUGCGUCUGAUUAGCUUGUUGGCGGGGUAACGGCCCACCAAGGCAACGAUCAGUAGGGGUUCUGAGAGGAAGGUCCCCCACAUUGGAACUGAGACACGGUCCAAACUCCUACGGGAGGCAGCAGUGAGGAAUAUUGGUCAAUGGACGAGAGUCUGAACCAGCCAAGUAGCGUGCAGGAAGACGGCCCUAUGGGUUGUAAACUGCUUUUAUAAGGGAAUAAAGUGAGUCUCGUGAGACUUUUUGCAUGUACCUUAUGAAUAAGGACCGGCUAAUUCCGUGCCAGCAGCCGCGGUAAUACGGAAGGUCCGGGCGUUAUCCGGAUUUAUUGGGUUUAAAGGGAGCGUAGGCCGGAGAUUAAGCGUGUUGUGAAAUGUAGACGCUCAACGUCUGCACUGCAGCGCGAACUGGUUUCCUUGAGUACGCACAAAGUGGGCGGAAUUCGUGGUGUAGCGGCGAAAUGCUUAGAUAUCACGAAGAACUCCGAUUG